rnacentral:misc_RNA from 1 species
AUAAAUUAACAUCAAAAAGCAUUUUAACUUAUAUUUUUAAAAUGCUUUUAAGAUUAAAUAGAGCAAAUAAUGUAAGUUAAGACGAAAAAAAUUAACAAGUUGAGUUUUUUUUAAUGAGUUUUUUAUAGAAA